rnacentral:rRNA from 1 species
UACGAGGGGUGCAAGCGUUGCUCGGAAUUAUUGGGCGUAAAGGGUUGGUAGGUGGUCUUAUUUGUCUGGGGUGAAAGCCUUGGGCUUAACUCAAGAAGUGCCCCAGAAACGGUAAGACUAGAGUCUCGGAGAGGGUCGUGGAAUUCCCGGUGUGAGCGGUGAAAUGCGUAGAGAUCGGGGAGGAACACCAGCGGCGAAGGCGGCGACCUGGACGAGCACUGACACUCAACAACGAAAGCGUGGGGAGCAAACAGGA